UACGAAGGGGGCGAGCGUUGUUCGGAAUUACUGGGCGUAAAGGGCGCGCAGGCGGCUCUGAAAGUCAGAUGUGAAAGCCCCGGGCUUAACCUGGGAACUGCAUUUGAUACUCUGGAGCUUGAGUACGGGAGAGGAUAGUGGAAUUCCCAGUGUAGAGGUGAAAUUCGUAGAUAUUGGGAAGAACACCGGUGGCGAAGGCGGCUAUCUGGACCGGCAUUGACGCUGAGGAGCGAAAGCCAGGGGAGCAAACGGG
rnacentral:rRNA from 1 species